AGUGAACGCUGGCGGUAGGCCUAAUACAUGCAAGUCGAACGGCAGCACAGUAAGAUUUCGCUUCUACGGUUGGCGAGUGGCGGACGGGUGACGAAUACAUCGCCAUCUACUUUUUCGGGGGUGACAACGGAGGGAAACUGAUACUAAUAGCGCAUACGAUCUACCGGAGAAAGCAGGGGAUCUUCAGACUUUUCGCGACUGUUUGAGCCGACGCCGGAUUAGCUAGUUGGUAUGGUAAAGGCCCACCAAGGCAACGAUCCGUAGCUGGUCUGAGAGGGUGAUCGGCCACACUGGAACUGAGACACGGUCCAGACUCCUACGGGAGGCAGCAGUAGGGAAUAUUCGGCAAUGGGCGAAAGCCUGAUCCAGCCAUGCCGCGUGAGUGAUGAAGGUCUUCGGAUUGUAAAACUCUUUUAUUAGGAAAGAAAAGCUGUGUAUUUAUCCCCGGAUGUUUUGACGGUACCCAAAGAGUAAGCCACGGCUAACUUCGUG
rnacentral:rRNA from 1 species